CAAAGGGUGUGGGGAGGGAGUGGGUUUUUGCGUGCGGAGGCUAGGGGUGCGGCUCUGCCGUCGGAAUCUGGAUCGGUGGUGUCGGCGGCAGCCUGUCACUGGAGGCGCCUGAGGCGUCCGUGCCCCUAUUCUAGUGAGUUGGGGUCCGACUAACACCGACCAUAACCGCUAAAUUCACAAACAAUCCACAAAAGAGAACACAGAACACAGAAUUAGAAACUAAUUCGAAGUGACUUUUCUGACAUGGACUCUUUGAGACAACAACCUUGUAAAGAGAACAUUAUACUUACAUAACACUGUUAGGAAGAAGUACACGAUCUUAGUAUAUAAAGUCGAAGUCUCGAAAAUACCAUGAAAAAUUCAAGGGAUGACUUCGCUUAUGGAUUACGUAAUUGAAAUUCAAACACUACUGGUAAGUACGUUUAAGCACCUAUAAUUAAGUCUUGGACCACCGUAUAAUUAGGACCUAUGAACUAGUUUGCCGUUUAACCUCGAGGAACAAGUACAGAAGUUACCUCUCGGAUCGUGUCAAUCUCCACAACACGCUUUUCGAAAUGUUGAGAUCUCUGAGCCGACUCUCUCGUGUACGUCUUUCAUGCGAGUUCACGAAGAGUCUCUUGUCUCUGAUGUAAAGCGUCACGGUUAUAUAUAACCUGUUACGCAGUUGAGGUAUACGGAACUACAACCGGUCAUGUUCGAACCACUUCGUUCACAGUCUAGCGUCAGAAAGAGAUGUUAACGCGGAACUAUAGGCCUUAAUACAGUACUUGAUGGAACGCCGUUCUCCUGGAUUUAACGUCUUGAAACACUGAUAAAGGGAUUAAGUCGAACGUACAGCCUAUUGUUUUAAACCUACCAAACUACUGCUGUCUAAGUCUCUCUAAAAAUUUCUUCGUUGUCUAAAGAAUCGAGACCGUAGAGUCCUAGUGAUAAAUUAUCCUAACUUCUAUGAUUUAAAAGAGCAUUACCUUUACUUGGUCCGUUUGAGACGUUACGGAAACUGUGAAGUGUCUUUUUAACGUUGAAGUAAGUUCCUGGUCAAAGAAGACGUCUAAAAGGUUUAAAGAGAAUGGAGUAAUGUGGUUGACUUUUCACUUCAUGGUCUACUCGAUUCCGCACAAGGAUAAAGCGAACGUAACUCCACGAACAGUAAACUGAAACAACCAAGAGGUCACCUACUCUCGAGACUUCUUAAACCUUGUCACGUCGAAGGACGUAGGACCUCCGGAGAGGAAGUUCUAGGAAGGUGACAAGUCUAGAAAAAACUGAUGAUGUUUCAGUUACUAUGUAGACAAAGUUUUCUCCGAAACCUUACAGAACAGUCUGAACGAAGACAGUCCGCUUCAGAAAAACACCUUCUGGGACGGUCCAGGGUCAAAGAGAGUGUAGACUACAGUCCGUGGUCCCUCUAUGAGGUUUGUCCGGUUCCAGAGCGACUAGUACCUUUAAUGGUACUCAAGACGGCAGAAGACCCUGCAAAAUUUCACUUAAUGGUCAAUAGUCUCGAAGACUUACAACUCAAGAUACCACUUACCGAACCAGAGCAUCGUCUUAAAUGUUGAUUUAGCAACGAUAGUACCGUCACCCGGUCAUUAUCGCAGAUGAUAGAAAAUUCAGAGACCAGUUCCGACCACUGUAGACACGGAAUGAACUUUCCGCUAUGUGGUUCAGACGAACUACUUUGACAUGGGUUUUAAUGCCUCCCAAAAUAGUGAAGAUCUUAAUUAAGACAGGUCCGGUCGAAACGCCUGUUGAGUGGUCUGGGUCUAUUAGGUAAUCUUUUACGCCUUUCAGAGGUCCUAGUCGACCUCUCAGAAGGAAUAGAAACAUCUAAGUUCAUACUUUCGACAUCGGAGAAGUAGUAAUUAUAGUACCUCGGAGAAGAUGUUCGAAUAUGCCGUUCCAGUUCUAAUGGUCGAAGACCUCUACGUCGACUCGACAGACAGUAACUUCCCGUUUAACGUACCUACCAGGUGUAUUAACGUCGAUAAGAGUUCUAAUCCGUCUGACACCCAACGUCGGUUCUAAGUGUCCUCAAUAAGCUACGCCUUGAACGCCGAGCACACAAUGUCAACUAUUUAUAAUGACUGUGUCCCCACGUGCGUGUCUCUAUAGUUCUUUAUUCAUUCGUUUCCGAACUAGCUCGAUAAGAGUAGAAACAAGUUUUAAAGUCUUCCAGUAUACAUCCCCUGGUUCGGUACGUACGAAGUUUCAACAUACGUUCUAACAGACUUGAAGAACCUGACUGACUGGUAAAUCAAAAUGAGUUGCAGUAACAACCCUUUUAUCGAUGUUUAGACUUCACGAUACGACUCACGCUUCUACAAUAACUAGUAUGAGACAGUGACAAGGACCUCGAACGUAGACCGAUAUACUGACCUUUCGAAUAAGAGUUCGACCUCUCAUGUUUCAAGUAAUAACGUUUAGUAAGAGCCCUUUUAAAAGGCAAAGAACUUCUUAUAUCUACACAGGCGUCAUCUUGAUUGAAGAUGAUGUAGGACCCGACGAACCAGAAGUACCUCCUACCGGGUCAUUUUAAGGCUUCAAAGUACCUCGGUGAAGACGUCCAACGUCAAUUAAACCUCCGUUCACGACUACGACGAAAGGCCUGACUACAACAUUUCAUGCGUAAAUGACCAAACUACUCUCUAGAUGCUCCGUAACGAUACCGGUGUUUGUCGGCGUCCUGAAUGCCGGAGGAUAAACUGACCAACAUAGGCAGAGCGUACGGAGAAGACAACUCUCGGUAGAGGGACGACUGACUACUUGGUCUCCAGUGGUGUGGGAAUGAAUUCAAGUACAGACUUAAACAAAACUUAUUCCGAGUUGCUAACUGUAAACUAAGUAGUAGUGGUUUACCCUAGGAAGACAAGGCCCUCUAAUCAUUCGACUAACACCGAAUACCAAGUGCCUAAAAUAACGAAGGUUUACCGUGAUUAUAAAUAUCUUCAUUUAUGUUUCCGUAUACCUAAAGUAACUGACAAGAAAGUUCCCGGGAUACACCCUUGAUACAGUUAAAACCACAGAAGCUCGAAAUACCACUGUCUCGUGAACGCCUACGGGAACUAUAUAGAAAUUUCUACUGAGACAGUUAAGGCAACAGACUGUAUAACUGUAAAUUUUUCGAAAGUUUUCGUAUGAUACCUAUAUACCUUCAAGAAAAGUUGUUGGUAUAGUGAUAGUUAAGACAGGAGUUAAACCUGUGUUCGUGUAAACACGUAUAACAGUGGAGCGAACUUAGACCGAACUUUCCUAAUCUAUGUCCUUAUAGUUGUGUCACGCGAAGACGGUAACUAUCGAACCGACGAAAGAUAAAAUUGUUAUAUUGUCGACCACUAUUAGGUGGUAGUGGUCGACGUGACUUAGAACGAGCUGUAUAACCCCUCGAGGGGUCAAAUAAAGGAGUCUAUGACUUCAGUGAAAAACUUUAGUAAUAGAAGCUCCUACGCCCAUUGGUCACCUCAGAGUCAUCUGGUUAUGAAUCAAACUAUUACUAGUCACUUGUCUACAAAUCACUAGACUCUAGUGUCCAUAAUCGUAGUGUCGGAAAUCUAGUCGUUGUUGCGGAGAGUGUCACAAAGCUAUUCGAGUACUGACUACAGUGUUCCUCGAACCUUGGUUUCUUGUCUCUGUCUAAGUGAGUUUUAGAGUGUUGUAAGUCUGUACUAAAGGCUCGCUUCACUGUCAGCAAGUCUUAAUGGACGUUCAAACUUCCUCCUCCGCGAAGACGUAACGACAUUUAUGGUUUAACAAACGUAGUAUCCUUAGUGGUAAGCAACCUUUUUCUUUGAACACGAGUCUUUUGGGUCAAAUCAAACGUAACCGACUUUCUAUAUCCCGAGACAACGACGUACGACACCACUUUUAGUCAAUAUUCAGAGAAUUGAACAACAGGCAUUGUCUUACCACUUACCACCCCUAACUGAACAAAAUGAGACGUAGGGAAACGAACAUGUCGUUGUAAGUAGCACUAACCACAAAGGGGUUCAACAAUCACCCUGUUGUCGGUAGUGAAUGGAUUAAGUAACCAAAUUUUCAAUCUUACCUUUACUACAUUUACCGGUACAACCGAACGAUUUUACACCUUAACCAUCAGACCCUCUCUCCCCUUUGGAACGGGGUACAUGUAGUUAUGGCAGAAAAUUGUAGAAAACAUGUCAUAGUUAGACAGCGGUAUAUAUCAAACAACAGAGACAGCC
rnacentral:rRNA from 1 species